rnacentral:hammerhead_ribozyme from 1 species
ACACUGCUGAGGAGUCCCAUAAUAGGACGAUACCGGCCGUCCAGUGC